rnacentral:rRNA from 1 species
UACGUAGGUGGCAAGCGUUGUCCGGAUUUACUGGGCGUAAAGAGCGCGCAGGCGGUCGCUCAAGUCGCGUGUGAAAGCCCCCGGCUCAACUGGGGAGGGUCACGCGAUACUGAUCGACUCGAAGGCAGGAGAGGGUAGUGGAAUUCCCGGUGUAGUGGUGAAAUGCGUAGAUAUCGGGAGGAACACCAGUGGCGAAAGCGGCUUCCUGGACCAGAACUGACGAUCAGGCUCGAAAGCGUGGGGAGCAAACAGG